AGAUGGAGGCGAUGGCCCCGCGCACGCUGCUCCUGCUGCUGGCGGCCGCCCUGGCCCCGACCCUGACCCGCGCGGGCUCGCACUCGCUGCGGUAUUUCUACACCGCCGUGUCCCGGUCCGGCCUCCGGGAGCCCCGGUAUGUGGAAGUCGGCUACGUGGACGACACGCAGUUCGUGCGCUACGACAGCGACGCGGAGACUCCGAGGAAGGAGCCGCGGGCGCCGUGGAUGGAGCAGGAGGGGCCUGAGUAUUGGGAGAGGAGCACACAAAGAACCAAGAACCGCGAGCAGAUUUUCCGAGGGAACCUGAGGACCGCGCUCGGCUACUACAACCAGAGCGAGGGCGGCUCUCACACCAUCCAGGUGAUGUACGGCUGUGAGGUGGGGUCGGACGGGCGCCUCCUCCGCGGGUAUCAUCAGCACGCCUACGACGGCCGCGAUUACAUCGCCUUGAACGAGGACCUGACGACGUGGACGGCGGCGGACACGGCGGCGCAGAUCACCCGGGGGAAGUGGGAGCGGGAUGGUUAUGCAGAGAGACAGAAAGCCUACCUGGAGGACGAGUGCGUGCCGUGGCUGCGCAGACACCUGGAGACCGGGAAGGACGCGCUGCUGCGCUCAGAUCCCCCAAAGGCACAUGUGACCCAUCAUCCUGGACCUAAAGGUGACGUCACCCUGAGGUGCUGGGCCCUGGGCUUCUACCCUGCUGACAUCACCCUGACCUGGCAGAGGGAGGAGGAGGAACAGACUCAGGACAUGGAGCUGGUGGAGACCAGACCUUCUGGGGAUGGAACCUUCCAGAAGUGGGCAUCUCUGGUGGUGCCCUCUGGGGAGGAGCAGAAAUACACAUGCCAUGUGCACCAUGAGGGGCUGCCUGAGCCCCUCACCCUGAGAUGGGAGCCUCCUCAGUCCACGGUCCCCAUCAUGGCAGUCAUUGCUGGUCUGGUUCUCCUUGGAGCUGUGGUCAUUGGAGCUGUGGUGGCUGUUGUGAGGAAGAGGAGGAGAAACACAGACCCUCCAGAGACACAUGUGACCCAUCACCCCAGAUCUCAAGAUGAUGUCACUCUGAGGUGCUGGGCCCUGAGCUUCUACCCUGCUGACUUCACCCUGACCUGAAAGAGGGAUGAGGAGGAACAGACACAGGACAUGGAGCUGGUGGAGACCAGACCUGCAGGGGAUGGAACUUUCCAGAAGUGGGCAGCUGUGGUGGUUCCUUUUGGGGAGGAGGAGAGAUACACAUGCCAUGUGCAACAUGAGGGGCUGCCUGAGCCUCUGACCCUGAGAUGGGAGCCUCCUCAGUCCACGGUCCCCAUCAUGGCAGUCAUUGCUGGUCUGGUUCUCCUUGGAGCUGUGAUCAUUGUAGCUGUGGUGGCUGUUGUGAGGAAGAGGAGGAGAAACACAGGUGGAAAAGGAGGGAACUAUGCUCCAGCUCCAGCGUGAAGACAGCUGCCUGGUGUGGAUGGAGUGACAGACGAUGUGUUCAGGUCCCUCCUGUGACAUCCAGAGCCCCUCAGUUCACUCUCAGCAAUAGUGUCUGAUGGUCCCUAUGAUCCUAUGGGCUCAACGUGAAGAACUGGGGAGCCCAGCCCACCCUGCACACUAAGACGCUGUCCCUGCACUGCCCUGUUCCCUUCCACAGCCAACCUUCCUGUUCCUGCAGACAGGAGGAGACAUCUCCAUCCUGUCUCCUCCAAGCUGCCCUGAGCUGCAGCCUCUGACUUCCCCACUGAACAUAAGAAUCUGCUGUGGGACAAUGGUCUGUACCCUGUCACUUGUGUUGUUUUUAAUAAUAUACUGAUCGGCCAGUAGUCAGAAAGGAAGUAUAGGCAGGGCGACCAGGCAGGAAAUAGAAGUGUGUCAACGAGAACAGAAUUCUCGGAAGGGGAAAGGCUGAGUUUGGAGUUACAAAGGAAGCAAGAUGAGAAUACCUCUGUCAACAAGAAUCUGAAUGUAAACUUGAUUGUCCAUGUCCUUGAUCUCAAAGGUUGAUUGGCAGGUAAAAUAAAUAAUUGAGAUAUGUAGAGUUUGAAGAGGAAAUAAAUGGCAGCAUGGACAACCUCCCAGAAUCUGUGUUCUAUGCUGUGUGCAUCUGGUGAGACAGGAUGAGGCUGUGGGAGCUGUGGGAGGCUGUGUCCCAGUGGAGCUCAGUUUAUGGACAUGGAGAAUUUUAAGAAACUUUGCUUGAUCGAUACCCAGUUUUGUGGACUAGACGGAAGCAGACGUAGCUGCUUGGGGGAAAGCCAGGGGGGCAUGCACAGAAGCAGAAGCAGAUACUUAAAGGAGGAAGAGGAUAUACAGAAGAAGUCCCUACCCUGUACUCAGCAAAACCAACCCCCUUGACCCUGAGUAAACCUGGCUUGCAGUUUUUGCCUAUAUAUGUUGACCCCAAAUGAGGAGGGGGAGCUCUCCCCACUUGGUGGCUUUCAGCUCCCAGCUAGCUGGACUAUGUCUGUACACUAAAUAAACCUUGCUUUUGAAUUCUGGA